GACGAACGCUGGCGGCGUGCUUAACACAUGCAAGUCGAGCGAUGAAGCUUCCUCCGGGAAGUGGAUUAGCGGCGGACGGGUGAGUAACACGUGGGCAACCUGCCUCAAAGAGGGGAAUAGCCCUCCGAAAGGAGGAUUAAUACCGCAUAAAGUUAGAGUUUCGCAUGAAACUUUAACCAAAGGAGUAAUCCGCUUUGAGAUGGGCCCGCGUCCCAUUAGCUAGUUGGUAGGGUAAUGGCUUACCAAGGCAACGAUGGGUAGCCGACCUGAGAGGGUGAUCGGCCACAUUGGAACUGAGACACGGUCCAGACUCCUACGGGAGGCAGCAGUGGGGAAUAUUGCGCAAUGGGGGAAACCCUGACGCAGCAACGCCGCGUGAGCGAUGAAGGUCUUCGGAUCGUAAAGCUCUGUCUUUUGGGACGAUAAUGACGGUACCAAAAGAGGAAGCCACGGCUAACUACGUGCCAGCAGCCGCGGUAAUACGUAGGUGGCGAGCGUUGUCCGGAAUUACUGGGCGUAAAGGGUGCGUAGGCGGAUAUUUAAGUCAGAUGUGAAAUACCCAGGCUUAACUUGGGAGUUGCAUUUGAAACUGGAUAUCUAGAGUGCAGGAGAGGAAAGCGGAAUUCCUAGUGUAGCGGUGAAAUGCGUAGAGAUUAGGAAGAACACCAGUGGCGAAGGCGGCUUUCUGGACUGUAACUGACGCUGAGGCACGAAAGCGUGGGUAGCAAACAGGAUUAGAUACCCUGGUAGUCCACGCUGUAAACGAUGAAUACUAGGUGUAGGAGGUGUCAUGCCUUCUGUGCCGCAGUUAACACAAUAAGUAUUCCGCCUGGGGAGUACGGUCGCAAGAUUAA
rnacentral:rRNA from 1 species